CCUACGGGUGGCAGCAGUGGGGAAUAUUGCUCAAUGGGGGCAACCCUGACGCAGCAACGCCGCGUGAUUGAAGAAGGCCUUCGGGUUGUAAAGCUCUUUAAUCAGGGACGAAAAAUGCCGGUACCUGAAGAAUAAGCUCCGGCUAACUACGUGCCAGCAGCCGCGGUAAUACGUAGGGAGCAAGCGUUAUCCGGAUUUACUGGGUGUAAAGGGCGUGUAGGCGGGUCUGUAAGUCAGAAGUGAAAUCUGGGGGCUUAACCCCCAAACUGCUUUUGAAACUGCGGGUCUUGAGUGAUGGGGGGGCAGGCGGAAUUCCUAGUGUAGCGGUGAAAUGCGUAGAUAUUGGGAGGAACACCAGUGGCGAAGGCAGCCUGCUGGACAUUAACUGACGCUGAGGCGCGAAAGCGUGGGGAGCAAACAGGAUUAGAUACCCUGGUAGUC
rnacentral:rRNA from 1 species